rnacentral:rRNA from 1 species
UGAUCCUGGCUCAGAUGAACGCUGGCGGGUGCCUAAUACAUGCAAGCGAGCGAACAGCGAGGAGCUUGUCCUCUGACGUUAGGGCGGACGGGUGAGUAACACGUGGAUAACCUACCUAAAGACUGGCUACUUCGGAACGGAGCUAUACCGGAUAACAUUUGAACCGCAUGGUUCAACAGUGAAAGACGGUCUUGCUGUCACUUAUAGAUGGUCCGCGCCGCAUUAGCUAGUUGGUAAGGUACGGCUUACCAAGGCAACGAUGCGUAGCCGACCUGAGAGGGUGAUCGGCCACACUGGAACUGAGAACGAUCCAGCUCUACGGGAGGCACGAGGAAUCUUCCGCAAUGGCGAAA